rnacentral:rRNA from 1 species
UGUUUCGGCUAGGGGGCCAUCCCGGCUUACCAACCCGAUGCAAACUGCGAAUACCGGAGAAUGUUAUCACGGGAGACACACGGCGGGUGCUAACGUCCGUCGUGAAGAGGGAAACAACCCAGACCGCCAGCUAAGGUCCCAAAGUCAUGGUUAAGUGGGAAACGAUGUGGGAAGGCCCAGACAGCCAGGAUGUUGGCUUAGAAGCAGCCAUCAUUUAAAGAAAGCGUAAUAGCUCACUGGUCGAGUCGGCCUGCGCGGAAGAUGUAACGGGGCUAAACCAUGCACCGAAGCUGCGGCAGCGACGCUGAUGCGUUGUUGGGUAGGGGAGCGUUCUGUAAGCCUGCGAAGGUGGCCUGUGAGGGUUGCUGGAGGUAUCAG